rnacentral:rRNA from 1 species
GACGAACGCUGGCGGCGUGCUUAACACAUGCAAGUCGAACGGAAAGGCCCUGCUUUUGUGGGGUGCUCGAGUGGCGAACGGGUGAGUAACACGUGAGUAACCUGCCCUUGACUUUGGGAUAAUUUCAGGAAACUGGGGCUAAUACCGGAUAGGAGCUCCUGCUGCAUGGUGGGGGUUGGAAAGUUUCGGCGGUUGGGGAUGGACUCGCGGCUUAUCAGCUUGUUGGUGGGGUAGUGGCUUACCAAGGCUUUGACGGGUAGCCGGCCUGAGAGGGUGACCGGCCACAUUGGGACUGAGAUACGGCCCAGACUCCUACGGGAGGCAGCAGUGGGGAAUAUUGCACAAUGGGCGGAAGCCUGAUGCAGCAACGCCGCGUGCGGGAUGACGGCCUUCGGGUUGUAAACCGCUUUCGCCUGUGACGAAGCGUGAGUGACGGUAAUGGGUAAAGAAGCACCGGCUAACUACGUGCCAGCAGCCGCGGUGAUACGUAGGGUGCGAGCGUUGUCCGGAUUUAUUGGGCGUAAAGGGCUCGUAGGUGGUUGAUCGCGUCGGAAGUGUAAUCUUGGGGCUUAACCCUGAGCGUGCUUUCGAUACGGGUUGACUUGAGGAAGUAGGGGAGAAUGGAAUUCCUGGUGGAGCGGUGGAAUGCGCAGAUAUCAGGAGGAACACCAGUGGCGAAGGCGGUUCUCUGGGCCUUUCCUGACGCUGAGGAGCGAAAGCGUGGGGAGCGAACAGGCUUAGAUACCCUGGUAGUCCACGCUGUAAACGGUGGGUACUAGGUGUGGGGUCCAUUCCACGGGUUCCGUGCCGUAGCUAACGCUUUAAGUACCCCGCCUGGGGAGUACGGCCGCAAGGCUAAAACUCAAAGGAAUUGACGGGGCCCCGCACAAGCGGCGGAGCAUGCGGAUUAAUUCGAUGCAACGCGUAGAACCUUACCUGGGUUUGACAUGGAUCGGGAGUGCUCAGAGAUGGGUGUGCCUCUUUUGGGGUCGGUUCACAGGUGGUGCAUGGCUGUCGUCAGCUCGUGUCGUGAGAUGUUGGGUUAAGUCCCGCAACGAGCGCAACCCUUGUUCACUGUUGCCAGCACGUUAUGGUGGGGACUCAGUGGAGACCGCCGGGGUCAACUCGGAGGAAGGUGGGGAUGACGUCAAGUCAUCAUGCCCCUUAUGUCCAGGGCUUCACGCAUGCUACAAUGGCUGGUACAGAGAGUGGCGAGCCUGUGAGGGUGAGCGAAUCUCGGAAAGCCGGUCUCAGUUCGGAUUGGGGUCUGCAACUCGACCUCAUGAAGUCGGAGUCGCUAGUAAUCGCAGAUCAGCAACGCUGCGGUGAAUAAAUUCCCGGGGCU